GUGGGAGGGAGGCUGGUAGAGGGGGAAACAGCACCCCCAGUUUUUCAGCCCGGCCUGUUUAUCUAGGGGCAAUCGGACCACCGACCCUCCUUUUUCCUCCAAGCAAUCUGGAGCAGGGCUCUUCGACCACUCCUGACCUACAGCGCAGCCAGGGACGAUCACUGAGGAUCUGAGUCCUCAGUGAAGAGUACCAGUUGUCACAGCAGAGAGCCUUCAACCCCAACACUUCACUUCUCAGCACCCUUGCCAGGUGUGGCCAGUGGGAGCAAGAGCCCAAUGAGGUCACCCAAGCACGAGGGCAUGAGGGCACGAGGGCACGAGGGCACAGUAAGUUCUUUGUGCCCCAUUUCUCGUGUCCGGGAUAGAUACUGAGACGUGGCCUGGCUGGAAGCUGAAGAGGGAGUGAGUGGUCCCUGAUGGAGAGCAAAGCAACAGUGUUGAGAAGAACUGAGUCCCCAAGUGACAGAUGGAGGAGAGCCGACUGAACUCUGCCUGCUGCUUCUGCUGUCAUUUCCAUGACAAAUAAACUGUGGCUGCUGCCUGAGGCCUU